rnacentral:sRNA from 1 species
GCUGGGCACGGUGGCAUAUGCCUGUAAUCCCAGUGGCUUGGGAGGCUGAGGCAGGAGGAUCUCAAGUUCAAGAGUAGCCUCAGCAACUCAGUGAGACACUGUCUCUA